rnacentral:rRNA from 1 species
CCCUUAGACGUUCUGGGCCGCACGCGCGCUACACUGACACAGGCAACGAGCUUUCCUUUACCGAAAGGUAUGGGUAAUCUUUUGAAACUGUGUCGUGCUGGGGAUAGAUCCUUGCAAUUUUUGAUCUUAAACGAGGAAUUCCUAGUAAGCGCGAGUCAUCAACUCGCGUUGAUUACGUCCCUGCCCUUUGUACACACCGCCCGUCGCUACUACCGAUUGAAUGGUUUAGUGAGAAUUUUGGACUGGAACUCCCUUGCUCAGCAAUGGGCGAGGGGGAGUCCGGGAAGCUAUUCUAACUGUAUCAUUUAGAGGAAGUAAAAGUCGUAACA